rnacentral:piRNA from 1 species
UACAAAAUAAUUGAUCAAACCAGAAAACAUU